rnacentral:tRNA from 1 species
AUCAGUAUAGCUCAGCAGGCAAGAGCACCAGACUCAUACCCUGGAGGCCGCUGGUUCGAUUCCAGCUACUGAUA